UACGGCGGCCAUAGCGGAGGGGAAACGCCCGGUCCCAUUCCGAACCCGGAAGCUAAGCCCUCCAGCGCCGAUGGUACUGCACUCGACAGGGUGUGGGAGAGUAGGAACACCGACGCCGAAC
rnacentral:rRNA from 1 species